rnacentral:rRNA from 1 species
GAUGAACGCUGGCGGCGUGCCUAAUACAUGCAAGUCGAGCGAACGGACGAGAAGCUUGCUUCUCUGAUGUUAGCGGCGGACGGGUGAGUAACACGUGGAUAACCUACCUAUAAGACUGGGAUAACUUCGGGAAACCGGAGCUAAUACCGGAUAAUAUUUUGAACCGCAUGGUUCAAAAGUGAAAGACGGUCUUGCUGUCACUUAUAGAUGGAUCCGCGCUGCAUUGGCUAGUUGGUACGGUAACGGCUUACCAAGCUAACGAUGCAUAGCCGACCUGAGAGGGUGAUCGGCCACACUGGAACUGAGACACGGUCCAGACGCCUACGGUAUGCAGCAGUAGGGAAUCUUCCACUAUGGGCGAAGGCCUGACGGAGCAACGCCGCGUGAGUGAUGAAGGUCUUCGGAUCGUAAAACUCUGUUAUUAGGGAAGAACAUAUGUGUAAGUAACUGUGCACAUCUUGACGGUACCUAAUCAGAAAGCCACGGCUAACUACGUG